UACGGAGGGGGCUAGCGUUGUUCGGAAUUACUGGGCGUAAAGCGCACGUAGGCGGCUUUGUAAGUUAGAGGUGAAAGCCCAGGGCUUAACCCUGGAAUUGCCUUUAAGACUGCAUCGCUAGAAUCGUGGAGAGGUGAGUGGAAUUCCGAGUGUAGAGGUGAAAUUCGUAGAUAUUCGGAAGAACACCAGUGGCGAAGGCGACUCACUGGACACGUAUUGACGCUGAGGUGGCGAAAGCGUGGGGAGCAACAGG
rnacentral:rRNA from 1 species